UACGUAGGGUGCGAGCGUUAAUCGGAAUUACUGGGCGUAAAGCGUGCGCAGGCGGUUCGUUGUGUCUGAUGUGAAAGCCCCGGGCUCAACCUGGGAAUGGCAUUGGAAACUGGCGAGCUAGAGUGUGGCAGAGGGGGGUGGAAUUCCGCGUGUAGCAGUGAAAUGCGUAGAUAUCUGGAGGAACACCGGUGGCGAAGGCGGCAUCCUGGACCACGACUGACGCUGAGUGAGCGAAAGCCAGGGGAGCAAACGGG
rnacentral:rRNA from 1 species